GCUUUCUGUGUAACUGGCAGGAACACAGUUCCUUGUGCUAAUACUGCUGCCUGCAAGGCUCUGCGUUAGGAGAAAACUGGAGUUUGAUUGCCAAGGCCAAUUGUGACACAGGAAUCAGUAAGGGAUCAGGGCUUUUUUUUUCUUUUAAUUGCA